GGCCCGGUAGUUCAACUGGAUAGAAUAUCAGAUUUCGGCUCUGAUGGUUGGGGGUUCGAAUCCCUUCCGGGUCA
rnacentral:tRNA from 1 species